rnacentral:rRNA from 2 species
CUAAGAGAAUGGAAGUCCAGAAAAAAACUUUUUUUAAAUUAAAAAUUGAAGUUUUUUUAAUUUGUGCAGAAACAAUUAUUUAUAUUAAAGACAAGAAGACCCUAUGAAUUUAUUAAAUUUUUAUUUAAUAUGUAAUUACUAUUAGAAAAAUUUUGGCUGGGGCGGCUAGAAAAUAUUAUAAACUUUUUAAAAAUAAAAUGAUCCAUUAUUAAUGAUUUUAUGUUAAAUACUCUAGGGAUAACAGCGUUAUAUUUUUUGAUAGAUCAUAUUGACAAAAAAGUUUGCGACCUCGAUGUUGGAUUAGGAUACUUUUUUAAUGAAGAUAUUAAAAAAAGAAGUUUGUUCAACUUUUAAUUUCCUACAUGAUCUGA